rnacentral:rRNA from 1 species
GAUGAACGCUAGCUACAGGCUUAACACAUGCAAGUCGAGGGGCAGCAUUUCAGUUUGCUUGCAAACUGGAGAUGGCGACCGGCGCACGGGUGAGUAACACGUAUCCAACCUGCCGAUAACUCGGGGAUAGCCUUUCGAAAGAAAGAUUAAUACCCGAUGGUAUAAUCAGACCGCAUGGUCUUGUUAUUAAAGAAUUUCGGUUAUCGAUGGGGAUGCGUUCCAUUAGGCAGUUGGUGAGGUAACGGCUCACCAAACCUUCGAUGGAUAGGGGUUCUGAGAGGAAGGUCCCCCACAUUGGAACUGAGACACGGUCCAGACUCCUACGGGAGGCAGCAGUGAGGAAUAUUGGUCAAUGGGCGCAGGCCUGAACCAGCCAAGUAGCGUGAAGGAUGACUGCCCUAUGGGUUGUAAACUUCUUUUAUAUGGGAAUAAAGUUUUCCACGUGUGGAAUUUUGUAUGUACCAUAUGAAUAAGGAUCGGCUAACUCCGUGCCAGCAGCCGCGGUAAUACGGAGGAUCCGAGCGUUAUCCGGAUUUAUUGGGUUUAAAGGGAGCGUAGGUGGACAGUUAAGUCAGUUGUGAAAGUUUGCGGCUCAACCGUAAAAUUGCAGUUGAUACUGGCUGUCUUGAGUACAGUAGAGGUGGGCGGAAUUCGUGGUGUAGCGGUGAAAUGCUUAGAUAUCACGAAGAACUCCGAUUGCGAAGGCAGCUCACUGGACUGCAACUGACACUGAUGCUCGAAAGUGUGGGUAUCAAACAGGAUUAGAUACCCUGGUAGUCCACACAGUAAACGAUGAAUACUCGCUGUUUGCGAUAUACAGUAAGCGGCCAAGCGAAAGCAUUAAGUAUUCCACCUGGGGAGUACGCCGGCAACGGUGAAACUCAAAGGAAUUGACGGGGGCCCGCACAAGCGGAGGAACAUGUGGUUUAAUUCGAUGAUACGCGAGGAACCUUACCCGGGCUUAAAUUGCAUUUGAAUAUAUUGGAAACAGUAUAGCCGUAAGGCAAAUGUGAAGGUGCUGCAUGGUUGUCGUCAGCUCGUGCCGUGAGGUGUCGGCUUAAGUGCCAUAACGAGCGCAACCCUUAUCUUUAGUUACUAACAGGUCAUGCUGAGGACUCUAGAGAGACUGCCGUCGUAAGAUGUGAGGAAGGUGGGGAUGACGUCAAAUCAGCACGGCCCUUACGUCCGGGGCUACACACGUGUUACAAUGGGGGGUACAGAAGGCAGCUACCUGGUGACAGGAUGCUAAUCCCAAAAGCCUCUCUCAGUUCGGAUCGAAGUCUGCAACCCGACUUCGUGAAGCUGGAUUCGCUAGUAAUCGCGCAUCAGCCAUGGCGCGGUGAAUACGUUCCCGGGCCU